GACCUGGUGGCGAAUGGUAUCGCGCGCGCAUCCUGUAGCUCGUCCCCCUACUUUUUAGGGCGGGAGAGGCUGGUUCGAAUCCAGCCCAGAUCG